rnacentral:tRNA from 1 species
GGAGAGGUCACAUAGCGGUCUAGUGUGCGUCCCUGGAAAGGACGUGUGCCGAAAGGCACCGCGAGUUCGAAUCUCGCCCUCUCCG